GGCCGCAGCAGUGGCUCUCCCUGACCCCACGAAACGGCACUUGGGAUUCGGCUUACACGGAGGAUACGGAGGAUACGGCCUCGGAGGAUUUGGCUUGGGAGGCUACGGAGGAUACGGAGGCUAUGGUUAUGGGUCCCACUAUCCUUAUUACGGAUCCUACUACGGAUAGGUGAGGCUGUGAUGUAACAUAUAAACGCUGUUGCAUCUCUCACUUCCGACUCAGAAGAAAAUAAUUCGUCGAGGAUUUUGGAUACGGCAGUCCGAUAUUUAUGUAAUAUACUUUAUGCUAUUUCGCUUAGCGAGAUAUGACACUCUUUAUAAUAAACUUACUUAUAAACUUA